rnacentral:rRNA from 1 species
GCAAGUCGAGCGCGAAUAGGGGCAACCCUUAGUAGAGCGGCGCACGGGUGCGUAACACGUGGAUAAUCUGCCUGGAUGCUCGGGAUAACCAGUCGAAAGAUUGGCUAAUACCGGAUAAGCCCACGGUUUCUUCGGAGACUGAGGGAAAAGGUGGCCUCUGUAUACAAGCUAUCACAACCAGAUGAGUCCGCGGCCCAUCAGCUAGUUGGCGGGGUAAUGGCCCACCAAGGCGACGACGGGUAGCUGGUCUGAGAGGACGAUCAGCCACACUGGAACUGAGACACGGUCCAGACUCCUACGGGAGGCAGCAGUGGGGAAUUUUGCGCAAUGGGCGAAAGCCUGACGCAGCAACGCCGCGUGUGUGAUGAAGGUCUUCGGAUUGUAAAGCACUUUCGACCGGGACGAAAACCCGUAGCCCAACACGCUACGGCUUGACGGUACCGGGAGAAGAAGCACCGGCUAACUCUGUGCCAGCAGCCGCGGUAAUACAGAGGGUGCAAGCGUUGUUCGGAAUUAUUGGGCGUAAAGCGCGUGUAGGCGGCGUGACAAGUCGGGUGUGAAAGCCCUCAGCUCAACUGAGGAAGUGCGCCCGAAACUGUCGUGCUUGAGUGCCGGAGAGGGUGGCGGAAUU